rnacentral:rRNA from 1 species
CAAUAGCGUAUAUUAAAGCUGUUGCGGUUAAAAAGCUCGUAGUUGGAUUUCUGUCAAGGACAACUGGUCCGCCCUCCGGGUGAGCACAUAGUUUGGUCUUGGCAUCUUGCUGGAAACUGUUGCUGCACUUGGUUGUGUGGCGCAGCAUCCAGCACUUUCACUUUGAGGAAAUUGGAGUGUUUCAAGCAGGCACAUGCCUUUGGACACAGUAGCAUGGAAUAAUUAGAUUGGGCUUUUGCUCCAAUUUGUCGGUUUCUGGAGCUGAGGUGAGAAUUAAUGGGGAUUGUUGGGGGCAUCCGAAUUUAGCCGUCAGAGGUGAAAUUCUUGGAUUUGUUAAAGACGGACUACUGCGAAAGCAUUUGCCAAGGAUGUUUUCAUUGA